rnacentral:tRNA from 1 species
GCCGGAGUGGCGGAAUUGGCAGACGCAAGGGACUUAAAAUCCCUCGGACGUUUACGUCUGUGCCGGUUCGAGUCCGGCCUCCGGCA